UGAGAGAAUCACGACUUGCUUUACGGCACAACGUCACAUACAUCAACAACAUAUAAGAAGCAGCCUCUAUGGAAGACACUAGCACGCAUUUCAGACGAGAGUCCCACUCAGUCAGGCUUUCACUCGUUGGCGAGAGCUAAAAAGCAGCAAAGGUAACGUUAAAUACAAGUACUCCACAGCGACUCUAGGGGUCGCUGUUUGACAAGAAUGAAAACUGCAUAGUAUGCCUUUAAUAGUAAAGGUAUGUGUCUUUGUAAAACUUAAAUGUUUCUUGUAACAGAAUAAUCAUAAUUGUGGCUAAAGUAGUGUUUGGUGUUCAUAAACGUAACCAGGAAUGAAAUUUUUCGGCUUAUAGGCAAGCGCCUAUUGUUUCUGAUGGAAUAUGUUUGGUAGACCUAUGUCUAGUAUCCUUGUUUAGGCUAUAUUUGGAAAACGGACUGUAGCCUGUAAUUUACAAUUUACAACUGGGUUAUAUAUAAAAUAAAUAAAGUAUCUCUCAUGCAAUUAUCCUUAUGACUCUACAUUAUUUUACUACUCUGUGUGUACCAAAAUCCAGUCAUUUUUACCAGUUGAAA